ACAUUAACUUGCUUCACAUUAAGUCCAUCAUCGCAGGAACUCACCAGCUAGGACCGUCCUUACGGGUUUACUCCAACCCGGAUGCAUAACUCCGGAGCGCAUCGCCCGAGGGGGAGCGACCACCCUCGAGCACGGAACUCAUAGCAAGUAUGAUCAUAUCCUUAACUCAAAGGAUUUAUAAGUUCAAUCUUGACUUUACACUAGCUCUAGUGUUCUUUACAUCACUUUAUGUUGCAAACUCAUGCAAUCACAUUCUUUACAUUUCCUUUACCCUUGCUAACUCUAGCAUUCUUAUUCUUAUUGCCCACUUUACUUUAACUUUACUCGUUGUCAUUUUCAUCAUUCUUUACAUCGCUUUAGUUCUUUACAUCACACUAGCUCUAGUGUCAUUUCACAUUAGUUUUAUCGAAUGCCACUCGAUCUAUGUCAUUGUGUCACUCUGUUCUUUUGCUCACUUUGGGUGCUCACAUUUUCUCUCAUGCAUACAUCUAGGGUUCUGACAUUCAUAAGGUUCUCAACCAUCACAUUUGGCACGUUGAACUCACAAUCAUGCAAUCAUCACAUUUCAUCGUUACUUUACCCUAAAAUGCAUGCAACAAUAUAUAUAACAUAUGCUCAAAGAAUGACACAUUAGGCAUAGAGAGAAUUUCAAUGAGUUUGGAAAGCACCACCCACC
rnacentral:lncRNA from 1 species